rnacentral:rRNA from 1 species
AUUGAACGCUGGCGGCAGGCCUAACACAUGCAAGUCGAGCGGUUGACGGGAGCUUGCUCCCUGAUUCAGCGGCGGACGGGUGAGUAAUGCCUAGGAAUCUGCCUAUUAGUGGGGGACAACGUUUCGAAAGGAACGCUAAUACCGCAUACGUCCUACGGGAGAAAGCAGGGGACCUUCGGGCCUUGCGCUAAUAGAUGAGCCUAGGUCGGAUUAGCUUGUUGGUGAGGUAAUGGCUCACCAAGGCGACGAUCCGUAACUGGUCUGAGAGGAUGAUCAGUCACACUGGAACUGAGACACGGUCCAGACUCCUACGGGAGGCAGCAGCGGGGAAUAUGGGACAAUGGGCGAAAGCCUGAUCCAGCCAUGCCGCGUGUGUGAAGAAGGUCUUCGGAUUGUAAAGCACUUUAAGUUGGGAGGAAGGGUUGUAGAUUAAUACUCUGCAAUUUUGACGUUACCGACAGAAUAAGCACCGGCUAACUCUGUGCCAGCAGCCGCAGUAACAC